CCUACGGGUGGCAGCAGUGGGGGAUAUUGCACAAUGGGGGAAACCCUGAUGCAGCGACGCCGCGUGAGGGAAGAAGGAUUUCGGAAUGUAAAGCUCUAUUAGUAGUGAAGAAAAUGACGGUAACUGACGAAGAAGCUCCGGCUAACUACGUGCCAGCAGCCGCGGUAAUACGUAGGGAGCAAGCGUUAUCCGGAUUUACUGGGUGUAAAGGGUGCGUAGGCGGUGUGGCAAGUCAGAAGUGAAAGGCAGGGGCUUAACCUCUGGACUGCUUUUGAAACUGGCGUGCUUGAGUGCAGUAGAGGUAAGUGGAAUUACUGGUGUAGCGGUGAAAUGCGUAGAUAUUGGGAGGAACACCAGUGGCGAAGGCGGCUUACUGGACUGUAACUGACGCUGAGGCUCGAAAGCGUGGGUAGCAAACAGGAUUAGAUACCCUAGUAGUC
rnacentral:rRNA from 1 species